rnacentral:rRNA from 1 species
GAUGAACGCUGGCGGCGUGCCUAAUACAUGCAAGUCGAGCGAAUGGAUUAAGAGCUUGCUCUUAUGAAGUUAGCGGCGGACGGGUGAGUAACACGUGGGUAACCUGCCCAUAAGACUGGGAUAACUCCGGGAAACCGGGGCUAAUACCGGAUAACAUUUUGAACCGCAUGGUUCGAAAUUGAAAGGCGGCUUCGGCUGUCACUUAUGGAUGGACCCGCGUCGCAUUAGGUAGUUGGUGAGGUAACGGCUCACCAAGGCAACGAUGCGUAGCCGAACUGAGAGGGUGAUCGGCCACACUGGGACUGAGACACGGCCCAGACUCCUACGGGAAGCAGCAGUAGGGAAUCGUCCGCAAUGGACGAAAGUCUGACGGAGCAACGCCGCGUGAGUGAUGAAGGCUUUCGGGUCGUAAAACUCUGUUGUUAGGGAAGAACAAGUGCUAGUUGAAUAAGCUGGCACCUUGACGGUACCUAACCAGAAAGCCACGGCUAACUACGUGCCAGCCGCCGCAGUAA